rnacentral:rRNA from 1 species
GUCCACGCCCUAAACGAUGUCAACUGGUUGUUGGGUCUUCACUGACUCAGUAACGAAGCUAACGCGUGAAGUUGACCGCCUGGGGAGUACGGCCGCAAGGUUGAACUAAAGGAAUUGACGGGGACCCGCACAAGCGGUGGAUGAUGUGGUUUAAUUCGAUGCAACGCGAAAACCUUACCCACCUUUGACAUGUACGGAAUUCGCCAGAGAUGGCUUAGUGCUCGAAAGAGAACCGUAACACAGGUGCUGCAUGGCUGUCGU